rnacentral:lncRNA from 1 species
GAUCAUCAUGACGAUAGUGAUCGAUCCAAAAGAUUGGUGUAUGAUCACUUUCUUUGGAUAGAUGAGUCUUAAAUUUAUGGUAUGGAGAUAUCGGAGUAAAAAUAUAGGUGCUUGUUAAGAACAAAGGUACUGAGCAUGACCAAUCAUGAAUAGUUAUAAAGAUAUCUAUCUUUUCAUCAGUGACUUGUUCAUAGCUGCGAUUGUGUAUUUAGUUCUCUGACCUGAAGUACAUCAAUAGUUUACCUUGAAGGUGCUGUAAUUUAACUACAUCAUAACUCGAUCUUCUAGUCAUACUGAGUCUUAAGAUGAGUGUAGAUUGCAGUAUGU